rnacentral:rRNA from 1 species
AUUAAACGCUGGCGGCAUGCCUUACACAUGCAAGUCGAACGGCAGCACGGGGCAACCUGGUGGCGAGUGGCGAACGGGUGAGUAAUGCAUGAGAAUCUGCCCUUUGGAGGGGGACAACAGCUGGAAACGGCUGCUAAUACCCCGUAAGCCGGGAGGUGAAAGGUACGCGAGUACUGCCGGGGGAUGAGCUCAUGUCCUAUCAGCUGGUUGGCGGGGUAACGGCCCACCAAGGCGACGACGGGUAGCCGGCCUGAGAGGGUGACCGGCCACACUGGAACUGAGACACGGUCCAGACUCCUACGGGAGGCAGCAGUGGGGAAUUUUGGACAAUGGGGGCAACCCUGAUCCAGCCAUGCCGCGUGAGUGAAGAAGGCCUUCGGGUUGUAAGCUCUGUCAGAGGGAAAGAAAGGGUACGGCGGAAUAAUAACCCGCCGACAUUGACGGUACCCUCGGAGGAAGCACCGGCUAACUCCGUG